rnacentral:lncRNA from 1 species
CCAUCUCAGGACCCCAGGAUCAUGACCUGAUUCGAAGGCAGAUGCUUAACCCACUGAGCCACCCAGGAGCCCCCAAAUGGAUGGGAUUCUAAUCGAGUUUCUACUUGUGUUUCUUGCUGUCAGUGGGUCCAUUUUACUUUCCAGAGGAGAUGCUGUGUUUUCCUCUCAACUUUGUUUUCUCUAAGUCUAUUUAGAUGUCACUGUAUCCUGAAGAUUUAAGAACUGAUAAUAGCUUUCCAAUCUGUGCUGCUGAACGAAAUGGUUAUUUUCAUGAAGGGGCUGCAGUGCUGGUAAAGAACUUCAUUCCUCUUCAGGAAGUUAAUGAGACCACAGAACUGUCUUAGAGACUGCAGAGCAUCCGCAAGUCUUUAAAAAUUUCAGCCCAGCCUGUGAUCCCUCAGGGCAGGUGCCAGAUGGAUGCCCACAGGGGCUCGUACACCACCAAGAGUCUGUGUUCCUUACAGUAAAAGAAAAGUCUUAAAUAAACUCAUCAUGAAAUUUGAGAAUCCUAUAAAUGCUUAGAGCAAAGGAUAAUUUCAAGACUACCUGCAAAGGUACAUGCUAUAUACUGAACUGUGAAGAAAUCUGUUGAAUGAAUGACUAGAUGUUCCUGGAUUUUGCUCAGAAAAAGCUUUCUUUCUUAAUUUUUUUAAAUAAAGGAAAAAGAAACUUUUGAAAUGGGCCUCAAGGAACUCCUGGGCUCUGGAGAAUGAGGAACUGAUAAGGAAUUCCAGGCAAGAAGCAGCACACAUUCUGAUGAACCAGGUGUGUAGGGAACAGGAGAAGGGUAAUGGAUGCUGACUUUGGAGGAGUGUGAGGAGUCCAGGUGAGAGGUGGCUUUAACUCUGCGGCAUGGCUCUGGACUUAAUCUGACUGACAGGUAACUGGGAGAAAUCAGGGUUUUGGAGCAGGGAGGUAACAAGAUGAACAUAGUGCCUGUAAAAUAAUUUUCUGCUUGCUAAAUGAACUGGUCUGGGAGCAGAGACCAGAGGCAGGCUGGCUGAUGUAAUAAGGCUAAGUCAAUGAUGGAGCUGUCUGGUGUUGAGACGGUGAUGCCAACGUAUGAUGCAUGAGGAAAAGCCAGCAGGGCUUGAUGCCUUCCUGGGAAUGCAUGGUAAAGAGCCAGCAGUUCCUCAGUGGGGCUUCCUUCCAGAGGAAGCUCCUUCUGUUGACUGUCGUGGUAAAAACUGUAUCUCUUUGUCUGAGGAUGCUGCUGAGUUGAGCUCUGCUUUAAAUGUGCCUUUUAGAGAAGUCAGAACCAUGAGAAUCAAGUAAGAGCAAGAGAGAUAUUUCAAGACAAUGACAGACCAGUGCUAUGCGAAGCUAAAGAAUAGGUAUGUCCAAACACUACCCAAAGCCAUGUGCAUAGACCAACUUCAUCCAAGGUGCCUUAAUCUCUAUAGAGGGCAGCUACAACACAAUGCUGCAACCCAUAUGCAGACUGGGUGGCUUAUAGACAGCAAACAUUUCUUUCUCACAGUUUUGGAGGCUGGAAGUCUAAGAUCAAAGUGCCAGCAUGAUUGGUUCUGGUAAAGGCCCUCUUCUGGGUUUCAGGCUUCUUAUGGUGUCCUUCCAUGGCAGAAAGGGCAAGGGAUCCCUCUGGAGCCUCUCUUACCAGGGUACUAUCCAAUCACGAAGGCUCUACCCUCAUGACUGAAGUAUCUCCCAAAGACCCCAUGAACUAUCACACUGGGCAUUAGGAUUCCAACGUAUGAAUCGGGUAGGGGACACAUUCAGACCACAGCACCAGGCUAUGGAAGAGAGAGACCAGUGUGUGGAAACAACACUCCAAUGCUCACUAGUCACCUGGUCCUGAUGAGCCUCCAUUUCUCUGAACUUCUCUGAGCAGUAGGGCUGCAUGAACACUUUUUCAAUCCACACCCAAUGAUGGAGUAGAAACUCAACAGGUUGGAGAAUAAAAAGUAAGGUCAUGAUAGUCUAGCUUUUCACCCACCACAACCGCAAUCACUCCAUGUGUGUCUUUCUCUCUCUCAUGGGUGUGCUCUUAUGGUCGUUUCUCUCAUUAACUGUCUUUUUGGUCUCAUCCUUUCUCUAAUUAAUUGAAGACUUCCUGUGGUUUCUAGGGAGUUGAUCUAAUAUUCCACCAGACAUCCAUGUUUUCUUUUGACUUUCCCAUCUACUUUCCCACUGUCCAAUUAUCCUCUAUCAUCUUUUUCCCACUCCAUUUAUGAACCCAUCACUACAAACAAAUCAAUUGAUAUGACAAGUCUGGUAAAACUCUGACAGAAGAACCUAGAGUAGACUUGGGUUUUAUACCCAGUGUAUCUUUUCACAUGGUUGCCCUUAGGUUAUGAGGUUUAAGAAUCUUUAAUUCUUGUAUCCUCAUCCACACAAUGAAAAUUCUAAUACCUUCUCUGCAGGGCAAGUGUGUAGCCUUCAGAUCAGGGACAUGAUGCCUCGAGCAGGCCUUCCAAAGACUAGGAGCUUAACUCUUCCGCUGAUCUUUGUAGAAAAACAGUGACUACACUGACAACAAACUGAUUUGUACCAUAGCAGCCGUUAAUCACUAACAUCAACAAAAAACUGUGCACACACAGUAACUUAUAGAAUUUCUUCCAUUUGAUUAAAAAGCAGCAUUUUUACAUAUACUAGAUAACCCAAUUGGCAAUUAAACAAUUUAAAUUGCAAUCAGUAGUGGCCUCUUGAACACCAUACUAACUAUGUGCUCAAUCCUCAAAAACAGAAGGAUACUGUCUACCUGAGUACAGGAGUAUUUUGCAUCAGAGAGGAGAAUAUCCCUAUGUCUAUCCUUACAGAAGCCUGGAUCAUUUUUGUGAAGAAGGAGAAAAAAACAAGUAAAAUCUUGGCUAUUUUUUCCAGAGAAGGCCCCUCACCUUCUUCUUCUUUUUUAAAAAGCAGUGCGAGCAAGGUCAAAACCUGGCUCCGUUGGGCUGCACGGUGGCUCUCGUUACUGUGGCUGGCUUCUCUGGCUCCUGGGGAGAACUUGCUCAAGGUCAGCUGAGCCAGCUUCAGAGGAGCCACACCUGGCUGUACCUACGGAACCUGAGCUCUGAGUCAUUUGCUUGGCAGAGAGCUGCUCUGGGAAAAGGCAAAAGUCAGAGAUGCUGGCAUGAAAGGUAGAUGAGUCAUGAGCAAGGAACAAAUCUUUCGUUAUAGAGGACCAGCUUUGGGAAACACUGACAUGGAAAAAAAAAAAAAAAAGAGCUGUUUGGGGAAAACUAAUUUGUAUUUUUGGUCAAGAUCAUUUAACCCACAAAAACGUCCUGCAAAGGUUGUUUCUACUCCCAGCAACUUCUUCAUUACCUAGCACUUACACUAUAAGAGAAUAAAAAAAUCAAUCCCAGGGAAGUUUUGAAGAAGGAAACUUUCUAGGAGAAACUGACCUUAUCAGUGACUUAAGUCUGACUCAAAUAACAAGAAACUAAAAGACAAAGUGAACAUUGCAACUUAUUCUCUGAAAUUGCAAUCACAUGGAUAAUGCACAGAAAUUGGUGUUCGUGUAUUCCUUUACAGAUGACUCACAUAUCCAUCGUCAUAUAGGAGGUCUCAUAUUCUAGGCUGAAAAAACUUAAAAAGUUUAACCAAAAGAGCAUUACAAGGUCAUUUUAUACCUUUCUUUUCUAGUUUCCAUAAGUAAGGAACCCUGUUUUAAAAAGACACAUUUUGUAUUCUGACAGCAAAGUAAUCUUAAAUGCACGUAUGGAGAAGUAGUGAAAAACAGUAAUGACAAGAUUAGUACAUAUGUCUUCAUAAGGCUACGCAUCUGUAAUGUAAGAGCUCAGAAAAGAAUGAAGUUAUAAUGAACUUUAAAUGUAAAAGUCGCCGAAAAACAGCUAAAAAUAUUUGGAUGGUAAGACAAAAAUGAUGCUUUUCACAGCAAUCUUUAGAGCACUUUUUAAAAUAAAUGUUUCCAUUUUAUUUAUGGGAAAACUGAUAUAAAAACACCUAUAAUCAACUUGUACACAAUGACCUGACUUUAUUUGAGAAUUCGAUACAGGGCCACGAAUUAGUGACACUGCACUAUGGAGUCAUGUGGUUGAAUCCUUUCUAAUCUCCCCAAUUCGAGAUCUAGCUAAAUAAGAAUAAUGACAAAUACUGACAAACUCAAGACGGUUAUACCUGAGAAGGUAACUGACUGUCUUCACCAGAAUUUGUCUGGAAGGGAGAAAGGAGGGUCCUUCACUUCUCAUGCUAUAUGCUAUGCUAUAACUAUGUUAUGUCCCUAGCCUUCCUCAAAUCUCUACUAGUUUGCUGGUAUCUUUAGUUGGCAGGGGGAAACUGAGGCUCAGACAAGUGAAGUCCGU